GAUUAUUUAACUAUAACUUAAGUAUAUAUUUUGAAAAUAUAAAAAAGAAAAUUUUUCUAAUAAUC
rnacentral:tRNA from 1 species